UACGAAGGGGGCUAGCGUUGCUCGGAAUCACUGGGCGUAAAGCGCACGUAGGCGGAUUGUUAAGUCAGGGGUGAAAUCCUGGAGCUCAACUCCAGAACUGCCUUUGAUACUGGCGAUCUUGAGUUCGGGAGAGGUGAGUGGAACUGCGAGUGUAGAGGUGAAAUUCGUAGAUAUUCGCAAGAACAGCAGUGGCGAAGGCGGCUCACUGGCCCGAUACUGACGCUGAGGUGCGAAAGCGUGGGGAGCGAACAGG
rnacentral:rRNA from 1 species